rfam:Salmo salar isolate Sally breed double haploid chromosome ssa16, whole genome shotgun sequence.
AGUGUAAUUGCUUGUAAGUUGCUCUGGAUAAGAGUGUCUGCUAAAUGAUGUAAA